AACAAAAAAACAGCGACAGAUGUAUCUUUAUAUAAAAAACUCCCAACCCUAAGUUUAUGUUUGAGAAUUUAUACAAUAUUUCGCUUAGAACUAGUAUGGCGUCCCUCCGGACAUUGUUAUGUGGUGUGUGCGUCGUACUUUAUACGGCUAUAGUGGUACUGCAUUGUAUUGGAGUUUACUUGUUAUGGAAAUUACGCUCUGUUCGAUUAAAUCAGUACAUAUUCCUAAUAAAUUUGAGCACUGUGGAAAUCUUCGCAGCUAUAAAUCAUUCCACAUAUGUCAUGCUAAGUGAUUUUGUCGUUACGGAGAAUGGCUUGAUAUAUAAAGUUUUUGACGCAUGUAGACUUGCACAAGUCAGUGGAAUUGCCAUAACUUGGUCUGUGAUGUUUCUUUUUCUGACUUUUGAUCGAUUUCUGGCGGAUUGCCAGAGUUUAUCAUGCAGGUUUUAUUUACAAAGUACAACAUAAACGUAUUUACAAGCGCAUAUUAUCCGAUGUUUUAUAUCAUCUUUUCUUUUGGUUUCGCUGCUGAUUUUUUUAUCUACGUAUUUCUUAUCCCGCAAAUACGCAGACGGAUGUUAAAGAUGUUUAAUAUUGUACACCAUCAUCAUCAUAGUAGGGAAAGAUGUAACACAGAAAAUAUCUCACUUUCAAUGUCACACAAACAUCACAAUAUUUGUGCGAGUAAAAAGGAAGAAAAAUGUUAAAUCAUAAGCACUUUCGGAGCUUUGACGUUAUAAAAAAAACGCAUAUGCACUGUUAGAAAAAGUGUCAUCGCAUCAAGGGAUCACAACUCAAGGGAUAUUGAUUGACUCAAAGAUUUUCUAAAACAUUUUCCCUUUUUCAGAAAAAUGAUGGGAAGUUGUAAAUUUUCUCAUAUAACUAAACGCAAUCUACACGUGUUAUUGAGGAAGCUAUUUUGAAAAUUAUCCUAAUUAUGAUAAUACAUGCGAAAACUAUGUUGACAAGUGUGGAAAUAACUUUGAUAACUACAAGCAAAUGCGGGAACUACAGUAACGAAUGGAAGAACUAUGGUAACAUGUGAGAGAACUACAGUAACAUGUGAAAAUAACGGUAACAUGCGAGAACAACGGUAACAUGUGAGAACUACGGUAACAUGUGAGAGAACUACGGUAACAUGUGAGAACUACGGUAACAUGUGAGAACUACGGUAACAUGUGAGAACUUCGGUAACAUGUGAGAACUACGGUAACAUGUGAGAACUACGGUAACAUGUGAGAGAACUACAGUAACAUGUGAGAACUACGGUAACAUGUGAGAACUACGGUAACAUGUGAGAACUUCGGUAACAUGUGAGAACUACGGUAACAUGUGAGAACUACGGUAACAUGUGAGAACUACGGUAACAUGUGAGAACUACGGUAACAAACUUGUGCAGGGAACAAGGGCAACAAACAUGAGAACAACAGUAACAUAUUCAAGAAAUACUGUAACAAAUACAAAAGAAUAAACAAGUUCGAUAACUACGAUGACAAGUGCGAGAAUUGUGGUAACAAAUUCUAGAACAACGGUAACAAAUGCAAGAACUAUACAAAAACUGUUGUAGAAAAAAAACUGCGCGAAAACGAUUGUGGUAAGAGAAAAUGAUCAAAUUUUUUUCAUAAAUUAUGUUACUUUGUUCUGUUUUCUUUGUGCUUUAUUGUAUGUAUGUUUUAUGCAUACACUACUCGAA